AGCUCCAACGGACAGCAGCGAGGAGACACCACCGGCAACCACUCAUAUCGCGAAUCGAAGCUCGGAGAAGCGAAUCCAGCCCAGCUGAUGAGAAACGGACAGCAGAUUCCUUCUGCUUGAGCAAAGGUAAGGCGCUAAAGCUGUUUUACUUUUCUUGUAAGUGAAUUAAUUCUUGAAUGCUCUCUGUUUGGUCAUUGAAAUGACCUCAAUAAUAAGAAGAAAUCAAUCCUUAAAAACCAUCUUCAGAAACCCCAAAGAUUCAUUUUUUAACUCAACCCUUAA
rnacentral:misc_RNA from 1 species